rnacentral:rRNA from 1 species
UUUUUAUUAGAAGAACCUUCCCAAGUCUUGACAUCCUUGUGACCGUCCAGUAAAGGGUCUUUCUCUUCGGAACAGGGAAGACAGGUGGUGCAGGGUCGUGGUCAUCUUCAGUUGUGAGAUGUUGGGUUAAGUCCAGCAACGAGCGCAACCCCUAUCCUUAGUAGCCGGCGGUUCGGAUGGGCACUCUAGGGAGACUGCCAGGGAUAACCUGGAGGAAGGUGGGGAUGACGUCAAAUCAUCAUGCCCCUUAUGACUUGGGCUACACACGUGCUACAAUGGCGUAAACAAAGGGAAGCCAACCCGUGAGGCGGAGCAAAUCCCAAAAAUAACGUCUCAGUUCGGAUUGUAGUCUGCAACUCGACUACAUGAAGCUGGAAUCGCUAGUAAUCGCGGAUCAGCAAUGUCAGUUGUUUCC